CCUACGGGCGGCAGCAGUGGGGAAUUUUGGACAAUGGGCGCAAGCCUGACCCAGCAACGCCGCGUGAAGGAAGACGGCUUUCGGGUUGUAAACUUCUUUUGUCGGGGAAGAGUAGUAUACUGUACCUACCGAAUAACCCUCGCCUAACUACGUGCCAGCAGCCGCGGUAAUACGUAGGUGGCAAGCGUUGUCCGGAUUUACUGGGUGUAAAGGGCGUGUAGCCGGGUUGACAAGUUAGAUGUGAAAUCCUGCGGCUUAACCGAAGAACUGCAUACGACACUGUUGGACUAGAGUACGGGAGAGGCAGACGGAAUUCCUAGUGUAGCGGUGAAAUGCGUAGAUAUUAGGAGGAACACCAGUGGCGAAGGCGGUCUGCUGGACAGCAACUGACGGUGAGGCGCGAAAGCGUGGGGAGCAAACAGGAUUAGAUACCCGUGUAGUC
rnacentral:rRNA from 1 species